AGCAGCUUUACUCUCCCAAUCUGCCACCUAAUCAUGAACUUCAUGCAUGAACGAGUAGUUUCCAGCAUAUAAAUUAUACUGAGAUUAGUUCCAGAGCACUGCAGCUACCAAGACCAA